rnacentral:rRNA from 1 species
AGUAAUGUAUGGGGAUCUGCCCGAUAGAGGGGGAUAACUACUGGAAACGGUGGCUAAUACCGCAUAAUGUCUACGGACCAAAGCAGGGGCUCUUCGGACCUUGCACUAUCGGGUGAACCCAUAUGGGAUUAGCUAGUAGGUGGGGUAAAGGCUCACCUAGGCGACGAUCUCUAGCUGGUCUGAGAGGAUGAUCAGCCACACUGGGACUGAGACACGGCCCAG